CUGAGUCCUUCCUCGUGGGUGCUCAGUGGGUCCUGCCCAUCCUCUUGGCAGGGUCACUGAUCUGUCUGCUCCAGCAUAGGUUCAUGAAGUACAGUCCAUAGGCCAGCAGCAUCAUCUGGGAACUUAGAAAAAAACCAGACCUACUGAGUCGGAAACUGGGGAUGUGGCCCAGGCAAUCUAUUACCACCACCUCCAGGUGAUUAUAAUGCAAGGAAAGAUUCCUUAUCUUGGACCUCAGGCUGCUCUCUUGAAGAAAACUUGACUUUAUUUCAUUAAGUGGGAACAGCAGCAGCCCAGCUAAUAUGUUGUAAUAUGCAACUACAGACUGUGAAGUGUUCAUGGCAGUAGACUGAAGCUAAGGAGCUGAGUGCUUACCAAGUUUCUAGAAGCUGCCAUCAACAUGUGAAGUCAGUAAAACUGAAAGCUGGUCAGAUUUCAAGGUCUCAGGGAAAAUAUCUACUGCUUACUGGGUCUUGAGCUCUAGAGAGCUAGGCCUUGCUAGAAGAACUACUUUACCUACCAUCUUUGUUCAGGGCUCAAUGGAAUUUGUGACAGGCCUGGAUGUCCUCCGAGCAGUGGCUAGCUGUCCCAUCUGUCUGGAUUACUUGAAAUACCCAGUGACCAUCAGUUGUGGGCAUAACUUCUGUCUCUCCUGCAUCAUUAUAUCCUGGAAGGAUCUAGAUGAUAGUUGUCCACGACCUUUUUGCCACUUUUGCUGUGCAGAAAGGAAAUUGACAAGCAAUCCUCAGCUAAGUCCUUUGACUGGAAUUGCUAAGCAACUCCAGAUAAGAAGCAAGAGGAAGAGGCAGGAAGAGAAGUAUGUAUGUAAGAAGCAUAAUCAGAUUUUGACCUUUUUCUGUCAGGAAGACCUAGAGCUUUUAUAUCCAAGGUGCAGUUUCUCCACUGAUUACCAGCAUCACUGUGUUUGCACCAUAAAGAAGGCUGCCUCCUAUUAUAGGAAAAAAAUUGGAGCAAUACACUGCACCGUGGAAGGAGAGAGUGGAACUAAUUGAAAAAGCCAUAACUAUACAAACCAGAAAAUUAUUAGAAAUGAAGAAAAAGGUAAAACAUAGGGAAAAAGAAGCCAAGUCUGAAUUUGAGCAACUUAGAUUAUUUCUCCAAAAUGAGCAAGAGACUGUUCUUGGGCAACUGCAAGAUGAAGAAAUGGAUAUUUUAGCACAACUAAAUGAAAGCCUAACAAAAUUUUCAGAUUAUGCCUCCUCAUUAAAAUAUCUACUACAGGAGAUAGAGAGCAUAUAUAUGAAGUCAGGACUGGAAUUACUGGCAAAUGUUAAGGACAUCUAUCACAGAUAUAAAAAUUUAAAAUUCCCUGAACCUUAUUCAUUCAAAUUAAAAGAAUAUGGUUACUGUCUGCCUCUACAAUAUUCUGACCUAAACAAAAUUACCAAGCAUUUUCAAGUAGAUGUAAUUCUAGAUCCUGAAACAGUGCAUCGUAAACUUAUAGUCUCAGCCGAUAGAAAAACUGUGUGAUAUGGACAUACAGUGCAAAACUUACCUCCAAAUCCAAGAAGAUUUUAUCACCUCCCAGCUGUUGUGGGUUCUAAGGGCUAUAGUUGUGGCUGGCAGUACUGGGGAGU